rnacentral:rRNA from 1 species
GACAGAGGGUGCAAACGUUGUUCGGAAUUACUGGGCGUAAAGCGCGUGUAGGCGGCCAUCUAAGUCGGGCGUGAAAUCCCACGGCUCAACCGUGGAAGUGCACUCGAAACUGGAUGGCUAGAGUCCUGGAGAGGAAGGUGGAAUGCUUGGUGUAGAGGUGAAAUUCGUAGAUAUCAAGCGGAACACCGGUGGCGAAGGCGGCCUACUGGGCUGC